UCUCGAUAGCGUAAAAGUUAACUCAAAUUAGUAUAGAGUUGGAACGUUUGCUUACGUUAACCGCUAGAGGCGCUGUUCCAACUGCAUACUUUGAGUUAACUUUUACGCUAUCGA
rnacentral:pre_miRNA from 9 species